rnacentral:rRNA from 1 species
AUGCACCAGGUUGCCCUUUUGAAGGGGAGCCUUGGCGCAGUGGUAAAGCUGCUGCCUUGUGACCAUGAGGUCAUGGGUUCAAGUCCUGGAAACAGCCUCUUACAGAAAUGUAGGGAAAGGCUGCGUACUAUAGACCCAAAGUGGUCGGACCCUUCCCUGGACCCUGCGCAAGCGGGAGCUACAUGCACCAGGUUGCCCUUUAAGAAGGGGAGCCUUGGCGCAGUGGUAAAGCCGCUGCCUUGUGACCAUGAGGUCAUGGGUUCAAGUCCUGGAAACAGCCUCUUACAGAAAUGUAGGGAAAGGCUGCGUACUAUAGACCCAAAGUGGUCGGACCCUUCCCUGAACCCUGCGCAAGCGGGAGCUACAUGCACCAGGUUGCCCUUUUAA